GCCAUUUCAAGGGCUGACGCCUGGAAAACACCGCCAGGCCCCUGGCCGAAGGAGUUACUUCUGGAGACAAAAAAAAAAAAAACAAAAAACGCCAAGACCCAAACUUGGUGAUUUGGAAGCAGUUCCUUAGCAAUGACAACUUAAAGGUGAAAUAAAUGCAGAAAAACUCUUGGGUGCUUAUGCACCACCCCCCGUGGUCCAAAACCUGGAUUUGCUGUCUGCCUUUUGAAGAUGCGACUACAACUUCAGCAAGUGGGAAAGUGUUUAUUUAAAAGUUUAGCAAGGAAAAUAUACCUGGUUUAAUUUUAAUUUUUU
rnacentral:lncRNA from 1 species